rnacentral:rRNA from 1 species
GACGAACGCUGGCGGCGUGCUUAACACAUGCAAGUCGAACGCUGAAGCUCAGCUUGCUGGGUGGAUGAGUGGCGAACGGGUGAGUAACACGUGAGUAACCUGCCCUCUUCUUUGGGAUAACGCCCGGAAACGGGUGCUAAUACUGGAUAUUCACUGAUUCUCGCGUGGGGGUUGGUGGAAAGGUUUUUUCUGGUGGGGGAUGGGCUCGCGGCCUAUCAGCUUGUUGGUGGGGUGAUGGCCUACCAAGGCUUUGACGGGUAGCCGGCCUGAGAGGGUGACCGGUCACAUUGGGACUGAGAUACGGCCCAGACGCCUACGGGAGGCAGCAGUGGGGAAUAUUGCACAAUGGGCGAAAGCCUGAUGCAGCGACGCCGCGUGAGGGAUGGAGGCUUUCGGGUUGUAAACCUCUUUCGCUCAUGGUCAAGCCGCAGCUUUGGGUUGUGGUGAGGGUAGUGGGUAAAGAAGCGCCGGCUAACUACGUG